CCCGGACCUGGCCUGCCCUUGCCAAAGAAGUGGGCACCUUGGUGGGCCUGGAAUUUGGAGUUUGGUGGUGCUGGGCCUGUUAACUGAGUUCCUGGGAGCCAAGGAGCAGGGGCAGGAUUGGCCAUAGGAAGGGCCAAGGCAAGCCAUGCAGUGUCCUUACAGAGACGCGCAGAGAGGGACAGCAAUGCAGCACAGGGGAGAGCCCUCAGUCACCAGACCCUGGAGGGUGGAAGAGCCUGCUCUUGGAUUUCCAGCCUCCAGAACUAUGGAACACAGACUAAACGACCUCGGCCCCUGGUUCUCUAACUGCAUUACCUUCAGGAUGGAUGGGUGACAGCUACGGAUGGGUCACUGGAUGGACAGUGACAGGCUGAAUAAUAUUCCAUUGUACGUCUAGACCACCUUUUGCUUAUCCUUCACCUGUCAAUGGACUCUUGGUUUGUUUCCACCACUUGACUAUUGUGAAUAACGCUGCAAUAAACAUGGGCAUGCAAAUAUC